AAAAAGACUCAGGCGGCAGAAAGGAAAGAAAAUAAUAAAAGAAGAAGAGGAAAGUGAAAAGUAGCCUGAGCUUUUUAUUAUU
rnacentral:ribozyme from 1 species